UUAGAAGAGCCGACCGCUAGCUCCCUGCCUCACACACACUGAGUCAUGGUCUGCAUACUACAGUUGAGGAAUCCCGCUCUGAAGGCCAAUUAGCUGCCGUACCUGGGUUUCCAGCUGGCAUCGUUUGGACAAAGGCCUUCCCACCAUUACCCCGACUCCAAUGACAUCUCUGGUGCUGUGAGGGCCGGGGCGCUGAAGAGUCCUUUGGUUAAGAGCGCUGUUUUCUCCUGUGUGAGGAGAUUAGCUGGCCUGUUCCUCGCCUGUGUUUGCUGAAGGGCCUUCUGUGGACCAUUACUCCUUAUAUCAGCAAAAGAAAAAGCGAAUUAUCGACGAUGGGAGCUAUUGAGGCAAAUCUUGGCAACCAAUCCAUUCAGCCUGAGAAAACCCGGGCUACGAUCUGAGAGCCGCAUGUACCCUACGUUUUGUGUCUUUGUGCACCAGACUAGCUGCUCCAGCCUCGUGGGCUCUGGCGACAUUUUCUUCGUUGUAAGUGACCACCUCCUCCUGGCGCCCUUAAGUAAUUCAUGCUUCUCCACCUGAGCACCGUAGUUAACCGUCUUAGGGACUGCUGAAAGGGAACUGUUUACUCGACCCAACUCGGACUUUAUAAGUGUAUGGUAGUGCCAACAGAGCAGAAGACGGAAGACACGGGGAAAGCUGUCAGAAGCGAAACUGGAGUCUGUCUUUGUUGUCGGGACAGGGUCUCCUCUAGCCCUGACAUGACCAUGGGUCACCGUGGAGUAGACACCUGUGGGCACCGGAAGGACGAACGACUCUAGAUUUACAGUAACGGUAAUGGACUGUUAUAUUCCCUCAUAGGAAGGAGGAUAAUUGCAUAAGCUCCUUGGGGUUCCUACUGGAGUAAACAGGGAGUGGAAGGCUGGCUGGAGGUGGGAACACCCACGAUGCAGCUCUCCUGAGUUAUCACCCAUGCUGAGUUGGAACUUUUUGAUAACUGCGGAUUCAUCCAUGAUCCUCUACGUGACCCCUUCCCAAGACCUGUCAGUAAUUCCAGUAAACUUAUUGGCUCACUAAUGUGAACCUGGAGGAAUUAUUUCUUCUGUAUUGUAGUGUCUUGAUUGGAUAGAUAGACAUUUCUUCACAUCCUGGGAAGUCACACCAUGCCUUUGUUCAGCCCUAACCAAAAAUAUAUAAUUGUGGAACAGGUGUGCCAGGUGAGGAGGAGCAGGUGUGCCAGGUGAGGACUAUCUCAAAAGACUCCACCAGGAGGACAGCCCUGCACAGAGGGUCCUGCCAGCGCACAGAGGCUACUGUACCACAGAGAGGGUACUGCCACCGUGCAGGGGGUCCUGCCACUGCACAGAGGGUCCUGCCAGCACACAGAGGGUCCUGCCACUGCACAGAGGGUACUGCCAGCACACAGAGGGUCCUGCCACUGCACAGAGGGUACUGCCAGCACACAGAGGGUCCUGCCACUGCACAGCGGGUACUGCCAUCACACAGGGGGUCCUGCCAGCGCACAGAGGGUACUGCCAGCACACAGAGGGUCUUGCCACUGCACAGAGGGUCCUGCCAGCACACAGAGGGUCUUGCCACUGCACAGAGGGUCCUGCCAGCACACAGAGGGUCCUGCCACUGCACAGAGGGUCCUGCCAGUACACAGAGGGUCCUGCCACUGCACAGAGGGUACUGCCAGUACACAGAGGGUCCUGCCACUGCACAGAGGGUCCUGCCAGCGCACAGAGGGUACUGCACCACACAGAGGGUCCUGCAGGGGUUAUUGCCCACAACUGUUCUCAAAGAAUCGUGUUUUGGGCCAUCUGAUGAGAUCUUCAUCCUCUCCCUUUUUAAAAUGUACUUGCUUCAGUCUCCUUGUUUACAAUGGCAUCUGUUCCCUUCAUGAUGCCCUGCUCUUCCAAAUACUCCUCUUAGAGAAUCUUCUUUUUGGUUGCUAUUUUGGUUUUUACCAUUACAGCCAUAGAGAACUGUACCAAACUGGUUGUUUUUAUUCUGAUUGUAAGGUAAAUGGAUAGGGACCUGCCAUCCAUCUACUUCCUUAUCAUCCAACCCACUUUAAUUCCCCAUCUCUCAUCCCUGCGAGGCUCUAUCCCCCACUUCAGCGUCCAUCUAAUCAUUAACAUCAGGGCUCUGUAUCUACCCCCUUGAUAGUUAAUCACUCAUUCACUUCAGAGCCCCAUAAUCCGUUCAUUUUUCGUCUCUUACCAUUCAUCUACUCAGAGUCCUAGAAACAAAACCCCAGUUUGCUUUAGUCAGUUGGAGAGAAUUGUUUCAGAAAGAUAUAGAGUAAUUCAAACUCUUCACAUGAUGAUUAUUAUUACGCUAUUGUUGUUGUUGGUAGUUUAUAGUUCUGAACGCCACAGGUAUAGUUGAACUUUUAGGAUCUUAUAUAACUUAAUGAAUUUUAAACAUCUGAAAUAUUUGUUUUUUUACAUCUAAAAUAUUUAAAAGGUAGUAGUUAUUAGGUAACUGGUCUGAUGCAAUUUUCUUUGAAGCAGAGUUAUAUUUUUAUAAACAGCUGUGGGACUGGAGAGAUGGCUCAGCACUUACGCUGCUCUUGCAGAGGACUAAGGGUGGAUAUUCAGGGCCCAUGUUGAGUGGCUCAUAACCUCCUGUAAUGUUGGUUCCAUGGUGUCCAAUGUCCUUUUCUGAUCUCUACAGGUUCCUACUGACAUGUGUAGACACACACACAUACACACACACACACAUGCAUACAUACAUACAUACAAAUAAAAACAAAUACAAAAUUUUAAAAGAAAAGGUUUUAGUAUAGAUUUAAGCACAGGCAUUAAGAGAGUAGAGAGGAAGCCAGAGAUAUGGCUCAGAGGUUAAGAACACUUGAAUUUGUUGUAGGGGACCCGAAGUCAGUUCUCAACAUGUUCAGGGCAGCUCAUGUCCGUCUAGUCCUGACAUCCUCUUCUGGUCUUUUUGGGAACAUGUUCUCAAGUAGUGUGCAUGCAUCCUGCAGGCAAAAUACUCAAACACAUAAAAGUAAAUAUUUUAAAAUUUAAACAAUUUAAAAAGGGAGAGAGGCUUAAGUAAAGAACAGUAACCCACACCCUUGAGGGAGUGUGGACUUCUCAAGAGAGUUGCUGCAGUUUUUUAAGUCCAAAGGAUAAAAUAGUCCUUCCUUAAUCGAACACAAAAGGCUGCUCCUAGGCUAAGAUAUAUUUCAGUGGUGGGGGAUUGCCCUAGUGUAUGCAAGGCUCUUCAUUUGAUCCCCACCACUGAAGCUUCUGAAGGGCACCUCCUUCAUGCUUAGUCAUUCACUUUGCUAUCUGUUUCUUCCGCUUCCAGCCACACCCUGGCCAUGACUGUGCCGGCCUGUGUUUGCAGGAUGCCGCAGGUGGGCAGUGUCCAGGGUGCCCGUGUGCUGUCCCAGCUUUCAGAUUAUGGUGUAGGUUUCCCCACCUCUCCUUCACGCUUUCCAUUACUGCUGUGUUUUUGUUGUUCUGUUCGGUUUGGUUUUUCUUUUUAAGCCAGGGCUUUACUAUGUAGGUCAAACUGACCUCGAAUUCACAAUUUCCUUGUCGUCAUCUCCCAAAUGCCGGGAUUAUAAACUGGGCCAUUGUCUAGGAUGCAUUGUCUAGGAUGCGUUGAGUUUGAGCACCAGACCUCAGCAACAAUUUGAGAACCAUGUUGGAUAUGGCCAUGGUCAGUUAGAUGAAUGUAGAAGUGCCCAAA